GGGGCGGCCCAAUACAUUUGGGGGCCUAAGGCGAACUUACUAAAAGAGGCUUUUUAACAAAAAAAAAUAAUUUAAUAAGCUACACGGUCAGGCCUAUCUUGCAUACCUGAACGGAUAACUAUUGAUCUUCCAUCCAGCUUAGUCAGCAUCGAGAUUGGGCUCGAUUUUAGCGGCAACAGUAUCCAACUAGAAAUUUUGAACAUGUCUCAGGGAUAUCAAAUUUGUAAUCCUAUUAGGUUCCAAAAAAAUUGACCUGAAUUCGAAUCGGGUACAUAAAGACACUACUUUUUUUUUUGCUAAAGCACAAAGACACUACUUUAAUGUAGCCAUUAUACACAUGUGUGCAUGUACGUCCGAUUACUCUCAGAGAACACUAAUACCAAGAAAUCUGCAAGACGAUAAGUUAGCCAUUAAACAGAGAAUAAUCUAUGUAUUAAAAUUAAUGGAAGAGUGGACUAAGAGGUCAAACUCAAUUAAGUAUAAAUAACUGAAUCAUCUCGGUGUCACAUGAGAGACGUUAACCUGAUGACUAGGGAACGCGGGGACCGGAGGCAAGACAUCUUGCUGCAUCAUUGAUCUAUAAAAUUUAUAACCUAGCAACACCAACCAAGAUUUUUAAUCCAAGUGGAAAAAGCAAACUCGUUCACACAAUUUGUCAAACAGUUGGUGGACCACGAAAAGGCUCACGAUGUGAGAUCAAGUAAAGCCAAGCCAAGCCUCGGCCUGGCCAUUUAGCAGAGGAAUGGUUAUCACAAAAAGAGUUCGGAGAACGAGACAAAAAGAAAAAAAGGCAUACCUUGCGAGUGGAAAUCAGGUCCAGGGACGAGUGGCCUCAACUUCGAUGCAUUCGUUUUGAUCUCAGGCCUAACUAGAAAUGACCGCGGAUCAGCGGAUGGGAUUGGGAGCGGCUGAGAACUUGGGUAAGAGAUGAGAGAUGUGAUUUUGGCGGAAGGUUUCUGGCUCCUGCGACCCAGUACUGGCCACCCGGGACUCGGGGAGGUGGAGGAGAUGAGGUCGCUGGCAGGCGGUCGGUGAAGCAGAGCUGCAGAAAGAGCCGAAGAGGAGCUGAGCAGGACCGAGGACAAUGAGGAUUGAGGAGGAGUGGAGCCGUGGAGGACGAUGGGGAUUUUAAAGAAAGGGACGAUGGGUGAUGGGAUUGGGAUGCCCGACGGCGACUUACCCUCACUCCCUCAGUCAUCUUGUCGAGCAGUCGAGGUAGCCGUUGGCUCUGCCUCUGGCCCUCUACGCUCUACCUCCAUGGAGUACGGACUACUAUAGCCAGUCUGUCGGGCGGGGCCUUUUUUCGGGCCGGGGCCUUAGGCGGCCGCCUAUCUCGCCUAACGGUCGGGCCGGCAC
rnacentral:lncRNA from 1 species